rnacentral:rRNA from 1 species
CACGUAGUUAGCCGUGGCUUAUUCAAGAGGUACCGUCUUCUGCUCUUCCCUCUUAAAAGAAGUUUACAACCCGAAAGCCUUCUUCCUUCACGCGGCGUUGCUGGGUCAGGCUUGCGCCCAUUGCCCAAUAUUCCCCACUGCCGCCUCCCGUAGGAGUCUGGGCCGUAUCUCAGUCCCAAUGUGGCCGGUCAACCUCUCAGUCCGGCUACUGAUCGUCGCCUAGGUGGGCCGUUACCCCGCCUACUAGCUAAUCAGACGCGAGGCCAUCUUCCAGCGAUAAAUCUUUGGUGUCUCGAUGAUGCCAUCGAAACACAUCAUGCGGUAUUAGCAGUCGUUUCCAACUGUUGUCCCCCUCUGGAAGGCAGGUUCCUCACGCGUUACUCACCAGUCCGCCACUAAGCAUUCCCUUCCAUUGUCUGAAAACUCUUUCAGGGGUGCUCCGUUCGACUUGCAUGUGUUAAGCACGCCGCCAGCGUUCGUCCCGAGCCAGACUCAAACUCU